rnacentral:pre_miRNA from 1 species
GAAAUACUCCCUCCGUUCGGAAUUACUUGUCUCGGAAAUGGAUGUAUCUAGAACUAAAAUACGUCUAGAUACAUUCAUUUCUGUGACAAGUAAUUCCGAACGGAGGGAGUAGAAC